AUUGAACGCUGGCGGCAGGCUUAACACAUGCAAGUCGAGCGGGGUGAUGGUGCUUGCACUAUCACUUAGCGGCGGACGGGUGAGUAAUGCUUAGGAAUCUGCCUAUUAGUGGGGGACAACAUCUCGAAAGGGAUGCUAACACCGCAUACGUCCUACGGGAGAAAGCAGGGGAUCGCUUGUGACCUUGCGCUAAUAGAUGAGCCUAAGUCGGAUUAGCUAGUUGGUGGGGUAAAGGCCUACCAAGGCGACGAUCUGUAGCGGGUCUGAGAGGAUGAUCCGCCACACUGAGACUGAGACACGGCCCAGACUCCUACGGGAGGCAGCAGUGGGGAAUAUUGGACAAUGGGGGGAACCCUGAUCCAGCCAUGCCGCGUGUGUGAAGAAGGCCUUAUGGUUGUAAAGCACUUUAAGCGAGGAGGAGGCUCUUUUGGUUAAUACCCAAGAUGAGUGGACGUUACUCGCAGAAUAAGCACCGGCUAACUCUGUGCCAGCAGCCGCCGUAA
rnacentral:rRNA from 1 species